CACCGAAGUCACUGAAUUAAUUUCAAGAAUGAUUUCCUACAAGGCUUUGCGAUCAGUCAUUUUUGCCGCUGCAAUACUUCACACGAUCAUUCUCUGCUUCGGUGAAUCACCAUUUGCGCCUCACGCUGGGGAUCCGAAGUGUGGUGAAGAAAAGUGUGGCGAUUACAACAAUUUCACAUGUUCUAACAGCAGUUGUCAAUGCUUCUACACGGAUAACCAAACUAACGGCGAGUGCAUUGACAUGACGGAUUACUAUAAAGAGUAUGGGACUAAUGCUCCACAGGCAGAAUAGACACCAAACACAACGGAAGACGUGUUGUUUGCUACGCCGCAGCAUUUUGAUUGAAAUAAAGCUGUGAUUGUGAUCCAGCGAA